rnacentral:rRNA from 1 species
UACGGGGGGGGGUAAGCGUUGUUCGGAAUUACUGGGCGUAAAGGGCUCGUAGGCGGCCAACUAAGUCAGACGUGAAAUCCCUCAGCUUAACUGGGGAACUGCGUCUGAUACUGGAUGGCUUGGAUUCGGGAGAGGAAUGCGGAAUUCCAGGUGUAGCGGUGAAAUGCGUAGAUAUCUGGAGGAAUACCGGUGGCGAAGGCGGCAUCCUGGACCGACAUUGACGCUGAACGGCGGAAAAGCUAAGGGGAGCAAACGGG